AUGCUGCUGCUCACCUGCAGCAUUUCCCCUUCACUGCACUGCCUGAGCAUUCCCAAAAGCACAGAGUUGGGGAACUCGGUGCCCUCGGCAUUGUCCCACCCCCCUUGGGCCUCACCACGACCUCUGUCCCUCACCAGGCCUGAGACCACACUGAGAUCACCCUGUUCUGUCCCUUGUGUCUUCUUGGUGGAGAGACUGACAUCUCCCGACUCCAAGGGAGUGUUUACAUCUUUGACUUCCUGGGCUUCACACUCAAUGCCUUUUUUCCCCUGCAGUGAUGCCUGGGAUGGGCCAGGAGCAUUGCAGGGACACUGGCACAGGUGCUGUGACAGCGGGCAGGGGCUGAGCCCGAGCUCCUGGGUGUCUGAUGAGGUGCUGCUUUCCCAUCCUGCUCUCCCCGUGCUGCUGGAUGAGCUGCUGUGGCCACUGGGCAGCAGCAUUGGAGGAGGCAUUUUCUCUCCAGCCCCAACACACAUCAAGAAGCCAAGCACUGUCCAACCCCCAGCUUGGUCUCCGUUACAGAUUCUCCUCCUGUGCAUCCGAGUUGCUGCCAGUUCCUCCAGAGCACUCCAGAAAUCAGAGGUUGGCUGUGACCCCUUGUCCCCUUGGCAGCUCCCAGGGGAACAGGCUGGGGGGAGCAGUGGUCCUGAGGCAGAUCCUGCCAUGUCUCACCUGCCAGGUUCUCCUGUGCCUGCCCAACUGCUGGAAAUGCACCCCAGGAGAAAUCCCCUAUGGAAAUCCUCCCGUGCACCCUUCUCUGCUGUGAGCCAGAAGCCCUUGGCUGUGUUCCUGGGGGAUUUGUCUCAGCCUGGCUCUGCCACCAGCACUCAGCCCCCAGUACUCAGCCCCCAGUGCCCAUUUCAAACAGGUGAUCUUCUUCUUCUUCCAUCCUGGUUUUCAGAAGCAAAUUCAGGCUCUUUCUGUGCCAGCCUGAGAUGUCUUUCAUUGCUCCAUGUCCAGCCAGCACAGGAGAUCAAGCAGAACUAUUAUCACACUUUAUAUUCAGAGUAUGUUUAUAAAGGAUUAAUAAAUUAUUAA
rnacentral:lncRNA from 1 species